rnacentral:rRNA from 1 species
UACAGAGGGGGCAAGCGUUAUUCGGAAUUAUUGGGCGUAAAGGGCGCGUAGGCGGCCUGGCAAGUGGAAGGUGAAAUCCCUCGGCUUAACCGAGGAACUGCCCUCCAAACUGCUUGGCUUGAGUCCGGGAGAGGUGAGUGGAAUUCCCAGUGUAGCGGUGAAAUGCGUAGAUAUUGGGAGGAACACCAGUGUCGAAGGCGGCUCACUGGACCGGAACUGACGCUGAGGCGCGAAAGCGUGGGGAGCAAACGGG